rnacentral:misc_RNA from 1 species
GCAUGCGUGGUUCCAUUCUUUUCCAUGCCUACAUCUCAAAGGUGUUCCGUUCUUCUCUUGGGCAAACUCCGAUAAUUAUAUCAAGGAAGUUCGUGUGGGGACUGAUUUCUAGCGCUCAUCACCGUAUCGUCGCCGUUUGGAGCGAGAACGGUAUUACACCCAGGGUAUCGAACUACCUAGGGAGAAGCUGAGGGAGAGCAUGACGACAACGCAGGCUCCCGCCCCUACCACCCAGGGCGGGAAAUUGGCCCAAGAGAUUCACGACGAGUUCCUGACGUGCAAGAUCUGCCUGGAGGGCUUCAAGUCCCCGAAAUGCCUCGACUGUCUGCACACGUUCUGCGAGCAGUGCAUCGACAACCACGUCAUGUCGGAGUGCACCUACAAGAAGUACAGCGACUACCGGGAAUUCACCUGCCCACUCUGCCGGAAGCGCACAGCCCUGCCGAUAGGCGGCGUUAAGAAACUACCAGACAACUUCCUGGUCUCCAGUCUCGGAGAGCUCGUAGCUCGACAGCGCCCUUCCAAGUUCCCCUUCUGCGAUAUAUGCAAGCUGGUUAACCGAAAACACAGAGAAGCGUCGUCGAAAUGUCUCGACUGCAACAAACUGCUGUGCAAGCAGUGUGUCGACAUGCACAGGGAAACGAAAGUGACGAAGAAUCACAGCCUGUUCGACUGCGAGAUCGAGAAGGACAUAGAGUGUAAAGAGCACAAGGAAGAAGUCGUCCGGUUCUACUGCGAGCCGUGCGAGUCGUGCAUCUGCGUCCUCUGUACCUUCAACGAGCACAAAGAUCACGAGAUCACCCAGUUCUCGGACGCCGUCGUCAAGUACAAGGAAUGCAUCCAGACCCUGCUGGACAGCUGCAAGGACAGGAUCAACAUCUACGACUCGCAGCUCGGGCUGCUGGGAAAAUGCGAAGCGACCAUCAAAGCCUCGGAGCAGAACAUCCGAGACGUCGCUAUCCAGUUCAUCAGCGAAAUACGCAACAGGGAGAAGCAGUUGAUAGACAAUCUGCACGAGAUCUACGGGAAGGAGUUGAUGGAGUACGUUUCGAGGAGGUCAGAGAUGCAGAUUAAUCUGGACAGUCUGAAAAGCACGUGCAGCCUCACGGAGCUGGUUCUCAAGGGAAAAGAUAUCGAACUGCUUCUUCUGAAGAAACAAGUUUCGGAAAAGUUAUCGCAUCUUUCGGACAUUGAAAUAACGAAUCUGCCGUCUACCGUUAACAAGACAAUAACCUUUGCUCCUGGAUCUCUCGAUCUAGGCUGUCUAGAGGAUGCAGAUAACAUCACGAAAGUGGAAGCAAAGAAGGAACCGGAAAUCAAAGUCUGCUCAAUGGAAACGCAGACGGAUGGUCUUUCCAAGAUCAACCGGUCUGUCCAGACGGAACGGAAGCAGACGCCGGAACGGAAGCAGACGCCGGAACGGAAGAAGACGCCGGAACCGGACGCCUCUCAGGUAACUGUGAAGAUCGUCAACGACGAGAAGGCCGUUGUGACUGAUUCCAACGACACCAGUGAUAAGUCCGUGAAUAUGAGGCCGCGCGGUAUGCAGCUGCAGAGUCAGUCGUCCAAGGAGGAGACGCCCGAGACGUCGGUCCCGGAACCCAUGUCGUCGCCAGUGCCGCGACGUCAUCGACGGCGACGCGAGAGGAUAAAGCCCGUUGAGGAUAGCGAUGAACUUGAAAGUGAGACCCACACUCCCAAAUCUGCCUGUUCAUAGCCUCGCUGGUGCUCGAGAAUCGAGCGAGCGCUCUCGCGGCGCCUUUCCAUUUCAGCAUAGUUAUGACUGGGUCCGAUAACUUUUAAAUGGAAAGGGCAGACAACUCGUGCAUCAAGACUUUCCUGGAAAUUGCUGUCUCUGAAUGGAAUUUGCUGAACUGCUAUCCUGUUUUAACACAAGAACAUUUUUCAAGCAUUCUUGAACUUUAUAUAUAUAUGUUAAUCAAUAUCAUUUUCGAGAACUCUGUAAUCUCACAGACACUUAACGUUUAGAAAUGGCUACGCAAUGCAAAUCGUACUAAAACAAUGUUGAUUUUACCGGGUUUUUUCUGUUGGGACAGUCUUUCCUUUCGGAGGGAAAACCGUUGUUUGUAAAAUAUUUUUCUAUAGUAUUUUGUUCUCUCAUAAUAAUAAUAAUAAUAAUAAUAAUAUUACAAUAUGUAUUAUUACCUCUCAUAUUUUAUCAUGUUUUUGCUUCUUUCACACAUGUCGCUCAGUGUACCUACAAAUGCAGACUUUUGCUAUUUCUUAGAGUGAAAUUUCAGAUUGCCCGCAUUUACAGACUUUGCUCUUUCUUAGAAUGAAUUCGUAAUUUUGGCAGUUUUGCAUACUUUUCUUUUUCUUAAAGAAUGAAAUACCAUUUUGACUACAGUUGCAGACUUUUCUAUUCAGUAAUAGUGAACUGUAAAUUUGUCGAGAUUAGCAGACUUUGACUUUUCUUAAAAGUCAACGUUCAUUUGCCCACAUUUUCUGGCAUUGUCUAUUGUCACUUUGUCCACAUUUGCUUUUCUUUUUCUUAAAUAUAGUUAUUAUUAUCAUCAUAUUUCAUAGUGUACAAACCCAUUUAUCAUUUAUGUAUUUCUUAGAAUUUCCUUCUUUAUCUUGAUUUUUCCUUUUUAUUCUCUGCUUGAUUAUGUUCACACUAUUUAGCAUGUUUAGUCAUCGGCACACAAAGCAUUAAUGAUAUAUGUAUGCAGACAUUAUUAAAUUAUCCAUGGGCACACGGUGCAAUCAUGUAUUACCGUUAAUAUCACUGAUAAAAUAGACUUAAUAUCUG